UCAACCCUUGCGCUUAAUCAAAUUUUCAAAACACUGAAGAUCAACAAAAUGCAGUUACUUGCCAUAAUCCCUAAUUUUUGCAUAAGUUGCCCCAGGGUGGGGUACUCAACUUAUCGGGAAAUUCUUUCUGUUUUUAUGUCUCUAAUUUUUUCCUGGAUCGCCCUUUCGGGAUUUCAAUCCACCAAGACGUUCCUUUUUUGCCUAAGCCGCCCUUUCAGGUUUUCAACUUAGCGAGCUCUUCUUUUCCUUUUUAG
rnacentral:lncRNA from 1 species